rnacentral:rRNA from 1 species
CCUACGGGUGGCAGCAGUGGGGAAUAUUGGACAAUGGGGGGAACCCUGAUCCAGCCAUGCCGCGUGUGUGAAGAAGGCCCUCGGGUUGUAAAGCACUUUCAGUGAGGAAGAACGCCUGGUGGUUAAUACCCAUCAGGAAAGACAUCACUCACAGAAGAAGCACCGGCUAACUCCGUGCCAGCAGCCGCGGUAAUACGGAGGGUGCGAGCGUUAAUCGGAAUUACUGGGCGUAAGGCGCGCGUAGGUGGCUUGAUAAGCCGGUUGUGAAAGCCCCGGGCUCAACCUGGGAACGGCAUCCGGAACUGUCAAGCUAGAGUGCAGUAGAGGAAGGUAGAAUUCCCGGUGUAGCGGUGAAAUGCGUAGAGAUCGGGAGGAAUACCAGUGGCGAAGGCGGCCUUCUGGACUGACACUGACACUGAGGUGCGAAAGCGUGGGUAGCAAACAGGAUUAGAUACCCUUGUAGUC